AGAACGAACGCUGGCGGCAGGCCUAACACAUGCAAGUCGAACGCCCUCGCAAGAGGGAGUGGCAGACGGGUGAGUAACGCGUGGGAACAUACCCUUUGGUUCGGAAUAGCUCAGGGAAACUUGGAUUAAUACCGGAUACGCCUUGUGAGCGAUCAUGAGGGAAAGAUUUAUCGCCAAAGGAUUGGCCCGCGUCUGAUUAGCUAGUUGGCGGGGUAACGCCCACCAAGGCGACGAUCAGUAGCUGGUCUGAGAGGAUGAUCAGCCACAUUGGGACUGAGACACGGCCCAAACUCCUACGGGAGGCAGCAGUGGGGAAUAUUGGACAAUGGGCGCAAGCCUGAUCCAGCCAUGCCGCGUGAGUGAUGAAGGCCUUAGGGUUGUAAAGCUCUUUUACCUGGGAAGAUAAUGACGGUACCAGGAGAAUAAGCCCCGGCUAACUUCGUGCCAGCAGCCGC
rnacentral:rRNA from 1 species